CCUACGGGCGGCAGCAGUGGGGAAUAUUGCACAAUGGGGGAAACCCUGAUGCAGCAACGCCGCGUGAGUGAAGAAGGCUCUCGGAUUGUAAAGCUCUGUUAGCAGGGGAGAGGUAGGACGGUACCUGCAGAGGAAGCCACGUCUAACUACGGGCCAGCAGCCGCGGGAAUACGGAGGGGGCAAGCGUUGUUCGGAAUAACUGGGCGUAAAGGGUGCGUAGGCGGUUAAACAAGUUCUAUGUUAAAUAUAUAGGCUUAACCUGUAGAAAGCAGAUAAAACUGGUUAACUAGAGUGGAGGAGAGGUAAGUGGAAUGCCUAGUGUAGCGGUGAAAUGCGUAGAGAUUAGGAAGAACACCAGUGGCGAAGGCGACUUACUGGACUGUAACUGACGCUGAGGCAUGAGAGCAUGGGGAGCGAACAGGAUUAGAUACCCUUGUAGUC
rnacentral:rRNA from 1 species